UAAAUCGAGAGACUGUGCCUCUACCGCCAUCGCCGUCUCUUCGACGACGCCGGGCGAUCGGCCCCUACACCAAAGCCAUCCAGCAUUGGAAGACGUCAUCGAGGGCCACUCCUGCGGACACAGUCAUUACAUUCGUAAAGCUUGCGAGGCCAACAUUGGAGGCUGCUCGAUCGGUUCACUUGCAAACAAUGCCAUCUUAUCUGAGAAGAUCCAGGAACAUUCUUGUCCCAUCAAUUCAAGUCAACACUAGCUAAAAUUUUCCCACCAAUUUGAACAGCUACGCAAAUCUCUUAACUUCUUCUUCUUUCCAUCAACAGUGUAUUUAUUUAUGGUUUUGUUUCAUGCAAAUUGGCACCCAGCUCCAAUUCUCAUUUCACAGAACAUUUAGGAAAUAAUUCCUAAAUGUUGGUUAAGAUACAUGAUGAAAUCUUUGUGUGCCAAAUACACCGUACUAUUGCUUUUUUUUUUUUUUUUGCAAAAACAGAGCCUGAUGUAGAGUAUGGUUUUUUUAUGUGGUAUGGCAAUGAUUUUGUAUUGUGCAAUUACUGGAGAAUGAAUUCUCUCUCUUCAUGUC